UGGGGAAUAUUGCACAAUGGGGGAAACCCUGAUGCAGCAACGCCGCGUGAGUGAUGACGGCCUUCGGGUUGUAAAGCUCUGUCUUCAGGGACGAUAAUGACGGUACCUGAGGAGGAAGCCACGGCUAACUACGUGCCAGCAGCCGCGGUAAUACGUAGGUGGCAAGCGUUGUCCGGAUUUACUGGGCGUAAAGGGAGCGUAGGCGGACUUUUAAGUGAGAUGUGAAAUACCCGGGCUCAACCUGGGUGCUGCAUUUCAAACUGGAAGUCUAGAGUGCAGGAGAGGAGAGUGGAAUUCCUAGUGUAGCGGUGAAAUGCGUAGAGAUUACGAAGAACACCAGUGGCGAAGGCGACUCUCUGGACUGUAACUGACGCUGAGGCUCGAAAGCGUGGGGAGCAAACA
rnacentral:rRNA from 1 species